rnacentral:misc_RNA from 1 species
UUUUCAGAAGACUUCAAGACAACAGUCAACAACGUUUGUCUGUAUUACUUCAAUGUUGAGAAUCAUAUUAAUUAUCCUUUGUUUCACUAUUAGAUAAAAGUUUGACCAGUUUCACAUCAAGUUAUUCAUUCUAUGAACUUCAGUCAUAGAGCACAAUGAAGAAAAUGGACAGCUAAAACUGAAUGUUUACAUUUUGUAUACCAUCAUAUAAAUGCUUUUGAUGUCUCCAUGAUGGAUCUUGAAGGUGGUAUGACCAAGACCCCACAAGAUAUUUUUAUAAAUCAAUGCAAGAUUAUCUGAAUAUCCUACUCUUACAAGUUACAACCCUUCACCUGCCCUUUGCAGAACUCUUCGAAGUUCAUCAGCCAUUCCUUGUAAGAGAACAGGUUUUCGAAUCACUCCAUUCAUUCCCAUCUGUAGGCAUCUCUCCCAAACAUUAUCCUCGGCACUGGCAGUCAAGGCUAUAAUCAAUGGCCAAUUACGACUUCGGAACUUUCGGAUUCUCAUUGCCACUUCAAAGCCAUCCAUUUCAGGCAUCUGAAGAUCCAAAAUAACAACUCCAAAAGAAUUUUCAGCAGAACUAAGAGCACUAAGGCAUUCAAACCCGGAUGAAACAGCAGUCACUUCACAACCUAGCUUCUCAAGUAGCCUCUUGGUUACAGUCCUGUUUACAUCAUCAUCAUCAGCAAGUAUAACCCGAAGGCCUCUGAACAGAGAAUUGGAAUUUGGUUGUUCUGAGGUAGUUCCAGAGGCAAAUACAGCUCUUCCAAAAGGUCGGACUUGAAACCUGAGAACCAGAGUCAUGCUUUGUGCAAAACCCAGAGAGUUCUGAGAUAUCCAGAUAUUACCUUGCAUCAUCUGCACAAGCUUUUUGCACAUGCUGAAGCUCAAGCCUUCCUUAACUUCAUCACCGUUUUGCCUUCUUCCAGAAGAAUGUGUGGUUGAGACUGAUCCAUCCAACAAAGAAGUUCCCUCCCUAAUCUCGAUGUCAAACUUGAUGCACACAUACUCCUCUGGAGCAUUUGGUUUCCACAUCCCCAACAUUCUAUCAUUCUUGCCCUCACUACCACCCUCUGAGAAAACCCGAAAUAUAGCAGUUCCACCUCCAUCAUAGACAUUCAAUAGAUAUCCAACCAUAUGCAGAAUCACUUGAAAAGUCCUCUGCUCAUCCCCUAUCACUAAAUCAGGCAAAGAACUCUGAACAUCAAUUUCAAAACCAAAGUCUUUAUACAUACAAAAACACUUAGCAAGGCACAAAGCUUCCUUGAUCAUUGAAUGUAAACGGAAAGGUCUCAUAUCUAAUGAAAACCUUCCAUUAUCUUUUGCUGAAAUCUCCAUGACAUCAUUAAUCAAAGUUGAAAGAACAUUGCUGGUUUUCACCAAUGUAUCAAUAAUAAUUCUCUGUUCAAAGCUCAUGCUUUCAUCUUGGAACAUUGAAAGUAGGCCCACAAUUGAGUGCAUUGGCCUUCUCAUUCCAUGACUCAUCACCUUCUGAAAUGAGUUCCUUGCCUGGCUUGCCAUCAUAGCAUUCUUCCUAGCUUGCUGCAAAGCACGAUUUUGCUCGCUCAGCUUCUCUCUCAUUAGCUGAGAUUCUUCAAGAACUGAAGCAUGGGAUAAAGCCACAGCCACCUGAUCAGCAACAACUUCCACUAUUUCCAUUUCCUCACAGCUCCAAGUCCUAGAAUUCAUCCUUGGAAUAACCAAAACCAGUAUAGCAUAACUAGUGUCAACUAGUUCAGGUGUGCCUCCUUUGAAAUUUGAAACCCGGAGCAUUGGCAUCCGAAUUGCUGCCACAGAACCUGCCUCCUCAAAGCCACCACCACUUGCUGCCCCCAGUGCCGAAUCUGGCCUCAAGAUCUUUACCCCCUUGGUAUCUUUUAUCUCUAACACAUCUGGGUCACAGACAGGAAUAGAAAGGUGAUAAUUUUUAGAACUUGGUCUCAACUCGUGGGUGAGAUUCAUCUCUGUUCUAUUCUGAUUUGGCAUCCAUACAGCACAAUUAUGUAAAUCCAAAGUCUUAGAAAGCUCAACCAAAGUUGUAUACAAUAUGGUAUGCUUAUCAAGCGACUUCCUGAUUUCUCGGGUUAGCAUUCUAACAUGCAAGCUCGCUUCCUUCUGCUUUUUCAUCAUACCAACUUCUUGGUCUAAUUCCAACACAUUUUGCUUCAAGAAAAGCUCUCUAACUUUCCAUUUGAGAAGAAGAGGAAUCAAAGUCAAAAGGGUUAUUGCAGUUGCACAUGAAACCAAAGCAGUAAGGAAUUUGGCAACGGUGAGAGACAUCAUCAAUUGAAAUGAGUGUGGCCCAUAAUAAGUCCAUCCAUUGAGCAAAUGUGUCAAUCCACAAAGGACUAUAAAUGCUAUAAACUGAAGGAGGACCCAUUUAAAUGGAAAGUUUGAGCAGCUAACAAAGUAAAGAAGCUCCAUGGGUAUUGAAAAGUAGGCUACUGCAAUCAAAAAAUCGCUAACCUUCUGACACUCCAGAAUGCUAUGCACGCUCCAAAAACCAUCAUCAUCACAGUUACAAUUAACGAAUUCAUUGUCAAUGGCAGAGACCGAGAUCAUAAGACGUGAAAUGAGAAAGAAUAAUACAGGAGCUAAUGCUCUUAACAUCGCAACCAACCAAACACUUGCUAUUCUUGUCAAAGUUCCUCAAUUUUAGAAGCCCCUUACAGACUAGAAUUCACAAACAGAGAAAAAUAAAAUGGGGAAAACGAAAUAUCUAAAUUGACAGCAACUACAAUUAGAAAAGGAUGAAAAUGACAAAUUAAAGAUAAAGAAACGUCCACCAAAAAGGGGAGCUAAAAAGAACACACCUUGUGCCUCCCGUGUCACAAACCCACCAAAAUCCAAGCUUUAUCAGCCUCCAAUGUCAAAACUAAAUCUUUUAGAUUCUUGAUAAACUUAAUUUCCCUCUUAAAUCAUCCCCAGAAAAGAGAAACCCGUUCUCUCAUAAAAAGGAAAUAGAAAACCAUCAAAGAAACAAAACUCACCAAAAAAAAUGAAAAAAAGAAAGAAUCAGCCCUCUUAAUUAAGAAAGAAACAGUGUAGAUAUUGUCUGAGCUAGCCAAUAGCGAUAACCCACUAAGAAGAGGAGGAGAAGGAGGAGA